rnacentral:rRNA from 1 species
AUGCAAAUCGUCACCUAUGGUCGGACGGCGGUCAACAUCAACAACGAGAUCGGGCCCUACUUCCGCACCUUGCGUGGGGUACGCCAGGGUGACCCGUUCUCCCUAUUUCUUUUCAACAUGGUUGUCGAUGCCCUCGCGGUCAUCCUCGAUAUGGCCAAAGCUUGUGGCCAUAUCCGGGGCGUUGUCCCCCACCUAGUGGGCGGGGGAGGGGUUUCCCUCCUCCAAUAUGCGGACGACACCAUAGUUAUGUUGGAGGGCUCCGCAUCAGACAUCCCCAACCUGAAGUUCCUCCUCCUAUGCUUCCAACAGAUGCCUUGGCUCACCAUCAACUUCGAUAAGAGCGGAGUGAUGGUCCUCGGCUACCCCCCGGGCGAGGCUUUGUCCAUUGCGGACAGGCUGAACUGCCGCCUGGGCUCCUUCCCCACAACUUACUUGCGUGUGCCCAUUAGUGACUCCAGACUCACCUUUGUGGACCUCCGCCCGACGGUGACUAGGAUGUAG